rnacentral:rRNA from 1 species
AGGAUCAUUACUGAAGUGAUUUGGGGAUGUUGCUGGCCCCUCAGGGGGCAAUGUGCACUCCUUGAACAACUCACAAUUUCCAUCACACCCUUGUGCACAUUUUGUAGGCACCCUCUCACCUCUCUUGGUUGGGGUCCUAUGUAUUCUAUCACCUCACACUUUGCCCUUGAAUGCACCUUUAUGGAUUAUUUGUAAAAGUAAUCACAGAAACAACUUUCAACAAUGGAUCUCUUGGCUCUCGCAUCGAUGAAGAACGCAGCGAAAUGCGAUACGUAAUGUGAAUUGCAGAAUUCCGUGAAUCAUCGAAUCUUUGAACGCACCUUGCGCCUCUUGGUAUUCCGAGGGGCAUGCCUGUUUGAGUGUCAUUGAAUCCUCAAAAGAGAAGACUUGACAGUCUCUCUCUCUUUUGGAAUUGGGGUGUGCUGGCCUUUUCUUGGAAAGCUCAGCUCCCCGUGAAAUACAUUAGCGAUGUGACAUCCUCAUGCUCCACGCUUCUUCUGGCAUUGAUAGUCUUUUCAUGCCUGAGCGUGUGCUGCAGCUGUGGAAAGUUUCGCUUGCUCACAAUUGAUGGGGUGUUAGCCUCAUCCUCUGACCAAUUUAACCUCAAAUCAGGUAGGAUUACCCGCUGAACUUAAGCAUAUCAAUAAGCGGAGGAAAAGAAACUAACAAGGAUUCCCCUAGUAACUGCGAGUGAAGCGGGAAGAGCUCAAAUUUAAAAUCUGGCAGUUCCCUGAGCUGUCCGAGUUGUAAUCUAGAGAAGUGUCUUCCGUGCUGGACCGUGUACAAGUCUCUUGGAAUGGAGCGUCAUAGAGGGUGAGAAUCCCGUCUUUGACACGGACUACCAGUGCUUUUGUGAUGCACUCUCAAAGAGUCGAGUUGUUUGGGAUUGCAGCUCAAAAUGGGUGGUAAAUUCCAUCUAAAGCUAAAUACAGGCGAGAGACCGAUAGCGAACAAGUACCGUGAGGGAAAGAUGAAAAGAACUUUGAAAAGAGAGUUAAACAGUACGUGAAAUUGUUGAAAGGGAAACGUUUCAAGUCAGUCACGUUAGCUGGUAAUCAACCUUUGCAAUCUUGCUGGGCUUAUUUUCCAGUCAACGGGUCAGCAUCAAUUUUGACCAUUAGAUAAAGGCGUGAGGAAUGUGGCAUCUUUGGAUGUGUUAUAGCCUCUUGUCACAUGUGAUGGUUGGGAUUGAGGAACUCAGCAUGCCUUUACCGGUCGGGGCUCUAAGUCCAC